rnacentral:rRNA from 1 species
UACGUAGGGGGCGAGCGUUGUUCGGAAUUAUUGGGCGUAAAGCGCGUGUAGGCGGUUUGGUAAGGCAGGUGUGAAAUCCUCGGGCUCAACCCGGGGUUUGCAUCUGCGACUGCCAGGCUGGAGUGUGAGAGGGGAGAGCGGAAUUCCUGGUGUAGCGGUGAAAUGCGUAGAGAUCGGGAGGAACACCAGAGGCGAAGGCGGCGACCUGGACAGGCACUGACACUCAACUACGAAAGCGUGGGGAGCAAACAGG